GGCUGUUCGGAAUUAGAUGAGAGAGAUGAAGGAAAAGAGGCUCGGUGGAGAGGGAUCAACCGGAGCGAGUUGACUCGGUGGGAUCUGGCGCUGAUUCGAGAGUCUCUGAGUUGAGCUAACGCGCCCGGCUUAAGAAACUUUAAAUAGGGCUCGGUCCUGGGAAGGGAGCGAGUUCUUCGCUUCAUGGUUAGAUAGACAGAGUGGGGAGGGGGUGAGAUUAGGGUUAGAGAAGGAGAGAGAUUUUGCGA
rnacentral:misc_RNA from 1 species